CACAGGAAACAGGGCAAGAACCAGCAAAUACACUUCCAGCAGACCCCAGCAGGAUGCUCCUCAGCCACCAGAAGACGAAGCCCCCAACCAGACAGUAGAGGCUCGUCUCAGUAGGAUUGAGGACCGAAUGCAAAGGAUGGAGCACUUGUUGGACCUGCUGGUGGACCAUUUUCUGCCCCAGCACCGUGACAGAUAGCGAUCUGCCCAGUGAUUUGCCCAGUGCUUGCCCAAGUCACUGGUCAAAUCACCCACAGGCCAGGAAGUCCCUUUCCCUUUUCUCCUUCAUUUCUCUAUAUAUAUAUAUUCAAACAUUGAGGACAAUAUUUGGGAUAGGUGUGGGGGUACUGGAGAGUAUUUAUUCACUGAUCACACCAUCUUUUGAUUUCUAUUUGUUUCUUAUUGUUUCUUUUUGUUUCUUUUUACAUUAUUCUUACCCCUUUUUGCACACACCAGAAUUUUUUUUCACACUUUUAGCACACACAUACAGAAUUUUGUCUUGGUUUUUGCUCUACUCAACAUAGAUAACAAGGUUAAAAGAGUUUCCUUAUCUCAUGACCCCAUUGAUUUGCCACCCCUUUAAGCCUAAAUUGAAUCAUUCACAGUAUGUUACCUUCACUUAGGAAGUUCUUUACUUGAAUUGAAUCCUUAAAUUUGUUGUGGUCAA
rnacentral:lncRNA from 1 species